GAAAAAGCUGACACAACCAUCUCUCUCUCUCUAGAACUUUCAACUUUCCAAUCCUCUCCUUUAAGUAAGUUGUAAUCUCCUCAUAAUAUCUCAAAUUAUCUGACACCUGCAUUUCGCCUUGCACAGUCAAGACUUGAACUUUGAAGCUCGAAUUAUCUGUGUAACGGAUUGAAUGAUAUUCAAGUCCAUAUCGAGAAACUCUGUUAAUAAGCAUUCUCGAUAGCUCUGCAUUGUAAAGAUUGCGACUUCAUGAAGACAUGGAGGAAGUGGUGGUGAAAGAAGAGGAGACUGUGAUGUUUUCUGCUGCGGCUGCAUCAUCUUCGUCAUCGUCUUCAAGCUUUCCACCGCAGCCGAUGGAGGGGCUUCACGAUGCGGGUCCGCCUCCAUUUCUGACGAAGACCUUUGAAAUGGUGGAGGACCCAUCAACGGACUCUGUUGUUUGUUGGAGCAAAUCUCGUAACAGCUUCGUUGUGUGUGACUCUCACAAGUUCUCGACGACUCUGCUUCCUAGGUAUUUCAAGCACAGUAACUUCUCCAGCUUUAUUCGUCAGCUCAACACAUAUGGUUUUCGAAAAGUUGAUCCAGAUAGGUGGGAAUUUGCAAAUGAAGGCUUUUUGGGAGGACAAAAACACUUGUUGAAGACCAUCAAGAGGAGAAGGCAUGUCGCACAUUGUAUGCAGCAACAAGGAGGGGGGUCUUGUGUUGAGUUGGGACAGUAUGGGAUAGAGAGUGAGCUGGACAGGCUAAAGAGAGAUAGGAGCUUGUUAAUGUCAGAGAUUGUGAAGCUGAAGCAGCAAGAGCAGAAUUCAAGGGACCAACUAGCAGCAAUGGAAGAGAGGUUAGGAAGUAUGGAGAAGAAACAACAGCAGAUGACGACCUUCCUUGCUAAAGCACUUAAUAAUCCUGCUUUCAUUCAGCAAUUUAUACAAAUGAAUGCACGGAGGAGGGAACUGCAUGGUGUUGGAAUUGGGCGUAAGAGAAGACUCACUGCCAGCCCGAGUGCAGAGAAUUUGCAGGAAGAAGCUGUUUCUGUUGCUGUGGAACAUGUUGUGGGUUUAGUCGCAGAUAUGGAGACGUUCUUCUCAGCUGUCAUCGACAACGAAUCAACAGGUAAUGUUAAGUAUACGACUGGGAGUUCUGUACCAGCAACAAGCAGUGGCAAUUUUGGUACAGUCAAUGAGACAACCUGGGGGGAACUAUUGCGUGAAGAUAUUCCCGUUGAAAAUCAUGAGGAAGAAGUCGUCGUGAUCAGUGAUGAACCAGAAUUGGAUGUGGAAGUGGAAGAUUUAGUUGCAGAACCUAUAGAUUGGGGUGAGGACUUGCAUGACCUUCUUGAUCAAAUGGGUUUUCUUGGGUCAAAUCCAUAGCCAUAAGUUCGAUGAAAAGCUUAGCUAGUGGUUUUGUGGUGUAACGAGUUGGUCUCUGCAACCCCAUAUCUUGACACUUGAUUUUACGCAGCAGGGAAUGGUGGAAGUUGCUGAGGACCAACAAAACUCAUAUUCUUCUGUGUUUUGCAGGUUGACUUGGAAAGGAGAUUUGUAGAAGCGGAUUCCUACCAUCGCCGAAGACUGUAAACCUCUCUUCUUUGCAACUUUUAUAUGCAUCAAGCACUUGCUCUAUGUACAAUAUUGUUCUUGUAUCUUGUAUGUCUACCAUUUUCUCUUAUGAGAGAUACUUGUUGUAAUAUUAUCUAUGGGUCUGUUCCAAUUGUUCCUUAUAUUGUAUGGCUGUGGGAAAGACGUUCACAGCUUCCCGCUGGAAGUCUUUUCAGCACAGGUCUGGAUAGUUUUGCGUCAGAUGCUCAUACUGGCUGGUCCAAAGAAAUGUAUUUAGUUUUGAACUUGAAUUGCAUAUUGAUUAACUUGCCAGAGUACUUAA